GGGGAUAUAGCUCAGCUGGGAGAGCGCUUGCAUGGCAUGCAAGAGGUCGUCGGUUCGAUCCCGAUUAUCUCCACCA
rnacentral:tRNA from 1 species